rnacentral:rRNA from 1 species
GAUGAACGCUGGCGGCGUGCCUAAUACAUGCAAGUCGAGCGAACGGACGAGAAGCUUGCUUCUCUGAUGUUAGCGGCGGACGGGUGAGUAACACGUGGAUAACCUACCUAUAAGACUGGGAUAACUUCGGGAAACCGGAGCUAAUACCGGAUGAUAUUUUGAACCGCAUGGUUCAAAAGUGAAAGACGGUCUUGCUGUCACUUAUAGAUGGAUCCGCGCUGCAUUAGCUAGUUGGUAAGGUAACGGCUUACCAAGGCAACGAUGCAUAGCCGACCUGAGAGGGUGAUCGGCCACACUGGAACUGAGAAACGGUCCAGACUCCUACGGGAGGAAGCAGUAGGGAAUCUUCCGCAAUGGGCGAAAGCCUGACGGAGCAACGCCGCGUGAGUGAUGAAGGUCUUCGGAUCGUAAAACUCUGUUAUUAGGGAAGAACAUAUGUGUAAGUAACUGUGCACAUCUUGACGGUACCUAAUCAGAAAGCCACGGCUAACUACGUG